GUAUAUAACGGGAACACCCCCCCUUAUUUGGGAAAACCCGGGAAACGUGUAUAUAAGGGAAACCUCCUCCCCCCGUGGGGGGGGGAAAAGGUUUUUCUGUUUUGGGAGGGCCCCCGGCCUAUCCCUUUGUGUGGGGAUAGGCCUCACAGGGGGACGGGGGUUCCCCCCCUAAGAGGGUCCCCGCCACACGGGGAUUGAACACGGCCCCAACUUCUUGGGGAGGCAGCAGGGGGAAUUUUGCACAAUGGGCGGAAGCCUGAUGCAGCGACGCCGCUUGAGGGAUGACGGCCUUCGGGUUGUAAACCUCUUUCAGUAGGGAAGAAGCGAGAGUGACGGUACCUGCAGAAGAAGCGCCGGCUAACUACGUGCCAGCAGCCGCGGUAAUACGUAGGGCGCAAGCGUUGUCCGGAAUUAUUGGGCGUAAAGAGCUCGUAGGCGGUUUGUCGCGUCUGCUGUGAAAGCCCGGGGCUCAACCCCGGGUCUGCAGUGGGUACGGGCAGACUAGAGUGCAGUAGGGGAGACUGGAAUUCCUGGUGUAGCGGUGAAAUGCGCAGAUAUCAGGAGGAACACCGAUGGCGAAGGCAGGUCUCUGGGCUGUUACUGACGCUGAGGAGCGAAAGCAUGGGGAGCGAACAGGAUUAGAUACCCUGGUAGUCCAUGCCGUAAACGUUGGGCACUAGGUGUGGGGGACAUUCCACGUUUUCCGCGCCGUAGCUAACGCAUUAAGUGCCCCGCCUGGGGAGUACGGCCGCAAGGCUAAAACUCAAAGGAAUUGACGGGGGCCCGCACAAGCGGCGGAGCAUGCGGAUUAAUUCGAUGCAACGCGAAGAACCUUACCAAGGCUUGACAUUCACCGGACCGCCCCAGAGAUGGGGUUUCCCUUCGGGGCUGGUGGACAGGUGGUGCAUGGUUGUCGUCAGCUCGUGUCGUGAGAUGUUGGGUUAAGUCCCGCAACGAGCGCAACCCUCGUUCUAUGUUGCCAGCACGUGAUGGUGGGGACUCAUAGGAGACUGCCGGGGUCAACUCGGAGGAAGGUGGGGAUGACGUCAAAUCAUCAUGCCCCUUAUGUCUUGGGCUUCACGCAUGCUACAAUGGCCGGUACAAAGGGUUGCGAUACUGUGAGGUGGAGCUAAUCCCAAAAAGCCGGUCUCAGUUCGGAUUGAGGUCUGCAACUCGACCUCAUGAAGUCGGAGUCGCUAGUAAUCGCAGAUCAGCAACGCUGCGGUGAAUACGUUCCCGGGCCUUGUACACACCGCCCGUCAAGUCA
rnacentral:rRNA from 1 species